rnacentral:rRNA from 1 species
AUUGAACGCUGGCGGCAGGCCUAACACAUGCAAGUCGAACGAGUGGCGGACGGGUGAGUAAUGUCUGGGAAACUGCAUGAUGGAGGGGGAUAACUACUGGAAACGGUAGCAAAUACCGCAUACCAUCAGAUGUGCCCAGAUGGGAUUAGCUAGUUUGUGGGGUAACGGCUCACCAAGGCGACGAUCCCUAGCUGGUCUGAGAGGAUGACCAGCCACACUGGAACGGAGACACGGUCCAGACGCCUACGGGAGGCAGCAGUGGGGAAUAUUGCACAAUGGGGGAAAGCCUGAUGCAGCCAUGCCGCGUGUAGGAAGAGGGCCUUCGGGUUGUAAAGUACUUUCAGCGGGGAGGCGUUACCUGCAGAGGAAGCGCCGGCUAACUCCGUGCCAGCAGCCGCGGUAAUAC